UCAAACGCGAUUUGGACCAGUGUGUGUUCAAAGAGAGAUUGCGAGCAAACCCUUUUUCCAAUCGUCACGAAAUUUGUGGGUAGCUUCAGGACACCUAUGGGAAGCUUUUUAACUGUGGGAUUUGAAAUUGGACGGGUGAUUUGAGAUACUAUUGACGUGAGGAAGAAGUCAACUAUGGUUGUGUGGUGUUGUUAUUGUUCAAAAAUAAUCCCUAAGCUGAGGUAAAGAUAAAGUGUGAUCGUGGAAUCAUGGCGAGGAGAGGAGGAUGAUUUAGGGUCUCGUUGCUGUUAGUUUAUUAUUUUUAGUAUGAUGGAUUUUUGGAUUGGAAGUUGUUGGAAUUGUUAGAUAAUUUGUUGGUUUAUGUUGGUUAAAUUAUAAUAAGUUGAAUUUGGAUUUUUGAUUUGAGUUGUGUUGGUUUUGGCAUGAUUUUUAAUUGGGGAAAAUUAAUUAAU